GGAAGAGAGGCGGAGUAGGAGACACCAUGGAGCCGCCAGAGACAGACAUGCCAAAUCUUCCCUGGCCACAUAGAAGGAAAAGCAGACCUAGAGUCAGGGCUGUCAGAGGGCCUUGCUGCAAACGACUCAAUAAGGAACUAAUGGGGGAAUUCCCAACCUGCCCUGGUUGGUCAGGGAACUCCUGACCUCAAGCUGAGUAGAACUGGCUCCUGCCUUACCCCCAAGACCAUGGACGAGUGAGCAGAGCACACGAGGGAAGCAGAGUCUUCAUGCCUUCAUUGCCUUACUUCCUUACAAUUGUACGAAAAUCCCAUGAGAGAGGGACGGGAAGAGAGCAGAGACUGUUUUGUGUAUUUACGUAUCUCAAGAUGGCCUCACUAUGCAGAACAGGUUGGACUCAAACUCACAGAGAUCUGCUUGGCUCUUAAAUCUCACACUUGAUGUGUGAAAGUCAGCAGGGCAGUGGUGGCACACACCUUUAAUCCCAGUGUUUCGGAGACAGGGGCAGACAGAGCUCUGAGUUCAAGGUCAGCUUGGUCUACAGAGUGAAGGCCAGGGCUACAAAAAAAAAAAAACCCGUCUUGAAAAACCAAAAAUAGAUAAAUAAACAUGAAGCAUCAAAGCCAUCAUGCAUUGA